GGUUGGAAAAAUAUUUAUUAUUUAUGCCAUUUAUUAAUAUUAUGUAUGGCAUUUAUUAGAUUCGAGUUACUUUUUGGGGUCAUCUCCUUAGCCCAAUACAGCUUUAUCCCACCCACCUCCAUUGUGCUGUUACUGGCAAGUAUAUUUGUUAUUGGCUGAACAGUACAAUUGUAAGUACAUGUACUUUUAAAGUAAGAAAUAUGGGAGUUCCUGUUCUGGUUCAGCAGGUUACGAAGCCAACUAGUAUCCAUAAGGAUGCAGGAUCCAUCUUUGGCCUUGCUCAAUGGGUUGGGGAUCUGGCCUUGCCAUGAGCUGUAGUGUAGGCUGCAGACUCUGCUAGGAUCUCAGGUUGCAGUGGCCGCUGUUGCUGUGGUGUAUGCUGUAGCUCCAAUUUGACCCCUAGCCUGGGAACUUUGAUGCCACGGGUGCGACCCUAAAGAGCAAAAAAAAAAGGGCGGGGGGUGGAGUUCCCAGGUUAAAGGUCAGGCAUUUUCACUGCAGCAGCUAUGAUCGCUGGGAACCUAGGUUGUACUGGGACCUUCCACAAGCCAAGGAUGGGACAGGGUGGGGAAGAGAGCAGAAACCUCCAAGUCACCAAGACACAAGCCUGAGUUGGCACCUGUGCACUAUUUAACAAGCAUACAUUCUGUUUAUCAGGUGUCUAUCUGCUGAUGAUAAAUGUAAUCCGUGUUCAAUGCCAGCCUUUUUUUCACAGCAAUACCCUAAUUAUCUGCAAUAGUGCCCUAUUUAUUGUUAGACACUUUCCCCUUAAAACAGUGUGGUUCCUAAGUACAUUUUAUGUACCUUCUUGGAGCUGUUUCUGGAGAGUUGUGGGUUUGUUUUUGUCUUUCUAGGGCCGCACCCCCGGCAAUAUGGAGGUUCCCAGGCUAAGGGUCUAAUCAGAGCUGUAGCUGCCGGCCAGUGCCAGAGCCACAGCAACACCAGACCCGAGCCGCCUCUGCGACCUACACCACAGCUCACAGCAACGCCGGAUCCUUAACCCACUGAGCAAGGCCAGGGAUUGAACCCACAACCUCAUGGUUCCUAGUUGGAUUCGUUAACCACUGUGACACGACAGGAGCUCCAAAAAUCCUUUAUGAGACUUGCGUUUUGCAGAUAAUUUCUCCUAGACUACGACUUGUCAUUUCAUACUGUUUCUUGUUGUCUUUCACAGAGCAGAAUUUCUAUUUAGAGAAGUCCAACUGUACAUCUUUCUUCAUGGAUCAUGCUUUUUGUGUUGUAUCGAAAAGUUGCCUCAGAGUUCCUGUCGUGGCGCAGUGGUGAACGAAUCUGACUAGGAACCAUGAGGUUGCGGGUUCGGUCCCUGCCCUUGCUCAGUGGGUUAAGGAUCUGGCAUUGCCAUGAGCUGUGGUGUAGGUCACAGAUGUGGCUCGGACCCCAUGUUGCUGUGGCUGUGGUGUAGGCCAGCAGCUGCGGCUCCAAUUUGCCUCCCAGCCUUGGAGCUUCCAAAUGCUGCAGGUUUGGGCCUAAAAAGGGAAAAAAACAAGAAGAGGGAGGGAGAAUCCGGGUUCCCAACUCAGUCCUCUGCAAAGGGCUUCAGCAGGGCCUUGGCUGCUAACAGCAGCCUCGCAAAGAGGCGUGUGUCUGGUCUGCUGCACAGAGUAGCAGGUGUGGCACAGAAGGGUAUGUCACGUGUAGACAAGGUCAGUGCUGGACAGCUCUGCACAGGCGCCGUGCUGCUCGUCACUUCAACGUCCCUCAGCUGCCAAUGCAUCCGUUUGCUUGCUCUGUGAAAAUGGACCCGGACUUUUUUUCUUUAUUCGGCCACACCUCUGGCAUAUGGAAGCUCCUGGGCUAGGGGUCGAAUUGGAGCUGCAGCUGCUGUCCUACCUCACAGCCACAGCAAUGCAGGAUCCGAGCCUCAUCUGCAACCUUCACCACAGCUCACGGCAAUGCUGGAUCCUCAACCCACUGAGCGAGGCCAGGGAUUGAACCCGUAUCCUCAUGGACACUAUGUCAAGUUCUUAACCUGCUACACCACAACGGGAAUUCCUGGACCUAGACUUUUUUUUUUCCCCUCGGUCUUUUUGCCCUUUCUAGGGCCUCAGUUACAGUAGAUGGAGUUUCCCAGGCUAGGGGUCUAAUUGUAGCUGUAGCCGGCACCCUGCACCACCGCCACAGCAAUGCAGGAUCCAAGCCGUGUCUGCGACCUAUACCACAGCUCACGGCAACGCCGGAUCCUUAACCCACCGAGCAAGGCCAGGGAUCGAACUCGAGACCUCAUGGUUCCUACCUGGAUUCGCUGACCACUGAGCCACGGUGGGAACUCCUCCUGGACCUAGACUUUUAAAAUGUUUUUUCUCUUUGGAGUUCCCUUGUGGCUCAGCAAGUUAAGGAUUCACCAUUGUCACUGACGUGGCUCUGGUUAUAGCUGUGGCGAGGGUGCUACCCCUAGCCUGGGAACUUCCACGUGCCAUGGGGUGCCAUGGGCUGCCACGGGGAAAAAGAAAAGGUCCUGAUCCUGGCCAGAGACGGUAUCUUUACUGCAACAAAUUAUCAGAAUCCCUGACACUUGGCCUGAAGCUACCGAACGAGGUGGUGCUUUUUCCUCCAUUUAGUUCACAAGGAAAACUAGAAAACACUCGCUUUCACCUGCUUACACGGAACCAGCAGUUGCUCAGGACGCCUCGCAUUCUGCCCUCUGCCAUGACACGGGCUGCAGAGAUCUCGCCCAUCUUGACACCACGGAACCAGCGCACUGGCCAUGAGCUCACGCUGAGGGAAUCUAAUGUGCAAGUGCUUUAGAGGCCUUAGCGGGACCCAUGCAAACAAGAGGGUGCAGAGCGAAACCUUGCAAAGGUCAGGGCCUACGACCUCAGCGAAGCUCUUAGACGGGCGGCCGGCUGAGCAGGCGGAGACAGGCCAUCCGAUGCUGCCUCUCACCCUACCCAUCACCACGAAAAGAGCCACAAGGGCCGGCAGGCCUUUUUAGACUUUGGAGACAACCCACCCCACAUCUGAAUCUACUCCUUCAAACCAUCUAAAGGCUUCCUGUUUUAAGUGGGUGGGCCCCAGAAAGAGAGGAGACUCUGCAGCAGGUUCAGGCUGCAGGGCAGGUGGCUUGACCCCCUGGGCCUUAUCACCCAGCAGAUUCCAUGAGUCUUGAAACGUCUGUGCCAAAUCAGGACACCGUGGGGAGGGCAGCGACAGGGGGCUCCCAAGCACAGACCUCCAGGAUUUUGGAGCAAUUCUACAUUGCCUUCUGCAGAUAACUAUUCUGCUUCAGAGAGACAGCCUUUAGCUUGCUACAGGGCCUUCGGCAGAGACUGAAUGCCUAACCAUGGGAUCCCGGGUGACCAUGUGGCCUGAGCGUCCCACCAUGAAUGGGCGCUGUCUGACCCACAGAGCCAGCAAUGCAACAUCAAACAGAAUGCACAGGAGCCCUGACACCAGCAGGGCCAUCGAGCUGGGCACCAGAUGAGACUGGUGGGAUCAGUUGGGCACACUGUGAAAGACCUGGCCCCCAAACUCUACCCUACUAUGUCCUGAAGCAGCCUCUGUGGCCCAGGUUUGGGAUAGAAGGAACUUCCCACGAGAGAGGUGGUCAGCAAGCUGCUGGGAGGGCAUCAAGGACUCACUAGUGAGCCGAUGGGCUGAGUUCCCACCAUCACAUGACGGUACAGGCGUCACUUGGUUACAUUCCUCCCCCUCCGCUUGGGAGAAGCACAUGGCCACGUCCUUAAAGGUCACCACACCUGCCAUAAUGGGCUCAGCGGAUCCUUGGGGUGGGCAGAAAAACCAACCAAAGCAUGGACAGAUGGCCACAUCCAGGCCCUUGACCUGGAAAGGCCCAUCGUAUCUCCCACCGAUGUCAGACUCCUGAGGCCCCAGGCACCCCCAACACACCUUCUUCCCCAGAUCCCCACCUUGGGGGGGAUGCCGAGUCCCACUGCCACUGCUGCCUCUCUCAGACGUUAUUUUUGGACUCUGCGUCCAGCCCACAGCAACCUCAGGCAGAUGACCAGAUGGUGCCCCCCUCCGGUCCAGGCACCGAGGACCAGCCCCUCCCAGACACAACUCACCCUCACACACCACUGCCCCUUAGGCUCGAGUAUCUGCUCCCAGGGCCCUUUGGUCUGCCCUCCUGCCCGUCAGGCACAUAAAGUUCUCUGUGCCUGGCAUGCUCAGAAUUCCACACCCCAGCACAUGCUCACCACUUCACGCCCUUCGCCAUGCCUUGGCCUCUGCACAUGCCACUCUGCAUGUGAUGCCCAGAGAGUGCCUGGCAUAGCAACCACAGCUCGAUCCUGCCAGUCCUCCACAAGCGCACAGCCAGGGUCAGCCGCCCCCACACCAGGCGCCCGGCACUGCAGACCCGCCCACCUGGCCCCCGCUCCUCAUCAGCACUCAGCCACCCCGAACCGCAGUGGAUCUCUGAGACCCCGGCCUUCCUUCACUCUGUCUUUGCACGAGCUGUCCCCUCCCCUGCCGCGACCUUCCUCUCUCCUCCUGAGGCACAUUCAGAACCCAGCCCCCUGGGCUUGAGUCCCUACCUGUCUCCUAGGUCUGCUACUGAAUCUGCAACCCAGCAUGUAAAGCCCCCAGCCCCAGAGAGGGCAAAUAUAAAGACCUGGCAGGACCACAGAUGGGGGAUCAGCCCAACCCCAGGCCCACUGAGCCCUGUGUCCACCACUGCCACGCUCCCCUCAGGGCCCUUGGCCCCCUGUCACUCCCCUCUUCAGCUAGCCCUUUUGCUGCUGUUGUUGCUUUUUAGGGCCACACCCGCGGCAUGUGGAGGUUCCCAGGCUAGGGUCAAAACAUAGCUGUAGCCACUGGCCUACAUCACAGCCACAGCCACGCAGGAUCCUACGCCACAGCUCACAGCACCUUCAGAUCCUUAACCCACGGAGCUGAGUGAGGCCAGGGAUCGAACUAGCAGCCUCACGUUUCGUUUCUGCUGUGCCGCGACAGGAAUUCCCUCUACAUCUACUCUUGACGUGGGCCGAGUCUUCAUGACAGCCUUAGUGACACCUACCACCACCUUCUCUCUCUUUUGUUGAGCCUGUAUCAUGUGCAAGUUCCCAGGCCAGGAAUGGAAUCUGUGCCACAGCAGUGACAAAGGCAGGUCCUUAACUGCUAGGCCACCAGGAAACUCCUACCACCACCUCCAAACUGCCUGGUCAGGACAUCUGGUCCUCCUCAGGCCCCAGCCUCCUGCAGCCUGUCAGGGCCACCGUCCUUCCUCCAUCCCACAUUGAUCCUAGCCCACUCUCCAACUGAGAUCCUGCCAAAUUCCAGAGUCGUGUGGCCUGGUGCCUACCCAGUGCGUCCAUUCACGAGCACCCGAAAAUAUCAGGCAUAAAAUCUCCAAAGCCACACCCUAGAUCGUCUCCCUAGAACCUGCUUCAGCCACCAACUUCCUCAUCUCAGAGGAUGAAACUUCCACCCACCAAGCGACUGAGUUCAAACACUCAGGCUCAUCCUUGAGAGCUCACUGUCUCUCAGACUCACAUCAGCACACUGGCCCUGUCCUACUGAAAGAAGACAGCCAGAGUCCAGGCACCUCUGCCUCCCCCACUGCAACCACCCAUCACCAGCAGCCUCCUCACAGGCCUUCUGCAGGCAGUCGCCCUCCGGUGUCAUGUCCCCUCCCACCUCUGCCAGAAACCCUCCUUGGCUCCCAGCAUCCUCAGAACAGGGGCCUGGAUUCAUUCCAGGCCUGACUCCUGCUCCCUGCUCACUGUUCUCACCAAACAUAAGUGAGACCUACGUUCCCGGAACACUCCCAGCUCAGCCUUACGGCCAAGCACUUGCACACUGAAAACCAACAGAACCCUGUGGGGCUCCUGGGCAAGGAAGCCUUUCGGGUCUCCAGUUUCUUGCUUGUAAGGACUGGGCUUCAGCCUCCACGACCUUCCCUGCAUUUCAAAGGACAGGUUCGAAUAGUUGCUAAUUAUGGGAAGGGAGGGAGUGAAGAGAAAAGGGUGGAGCAGUCAAGAAAUGGGAGAACAGGAGGUUCCCAAGCGGCGCAACGAACAGAAGAUCUGGCAUUGCUGCAGCUGUGGCGCAGGUCGCAAAUGCAGGGUGGAUUCCAUCCCAGGCCCGAGAACUUCCACAUGCCGCGGGUGUGGCAGAGAAGAAAGGACGGAAGGAAGGAAGGAAAGAAGGAAAAAAAUUAAAAUAAAAAAGAAACAAUAAUGUACACUUGGGGCAGGGUCCUGGUUCCCCCUCGAGGAAAACACAUAACAGUAUCUUUGAACUCUUCUGCAGCGCUAACAAGCCCCCCAGAGGAAGUAAGAUGUUAGGUAUGAAGUACUCUUUCUUGCAGAGAAAAGCUCACAGUUUGAUAACCUGGAGAACCACAGAAACUCCUCAGGAGACCCCCCGAGGCCAGAUUAAAGGAAUACAGACCCUGCACAAAGUCGAAUCCUUCUCAACAAUCCCGCUCUUGAACCACUGCCGUAAAACUCCUCACCAAAUCCUCCUGGGCAGGACACACAGUUUUGAGGGCUCAGCCCACCGGGUUCCCCCCUUGCUCGACCAAACAAUAAAACUGGUCGUUUCUUCUUCACCCCAAACCCUGAGUUUCGGCAGCAGCACCUUCCACGUCAUGUCCCCUUGACUGAGAGAUGGGAACCCUCUGCGUAACCCGACUGCGAUUCAGGGUUCGGACCAGAUGCGACGGCAAGAAGGAAGGGUCUCCGGACACCAACGUCCCCACAUGGAGGCCGAGCAGGGAGGGAGGCCCCCGGGGACCCUCUACUCACCUUCGCCGGCCCAACAUCACCGCCGCCGUCGGGCCAAAACUGGACCCUGAAAGGCAGCGAUCUCCGCCGAGGGAUGGGUGGCCACGGGCUGACGGGGGCAGUCUGGGCCUCAGUCCUCAAGCCCUCCUGUGUAAAAUGCCCACAAGGCCCGGGAGGACCGAGGCCGGGUGUGAGGCAGCCGGUCCCACAGUCGGGACCGCGAGUCUCAGGCACCAGCGAAGACGCGGCAGGACGCCAGCGCGCCAGCUUCCCU
ensembl:lncRNA